rfam:Aedes albopictus isolate Foshan contig43424, whole genome shotgun sequence.
UGGCCUAGUGGUUAAGGCUAUGGAUCGCCAAUCCGGAGACGGCGGGUUCGAUUCCCGU